UACGGAGGGUGCAAGCGUUAUCCGGAUUCACUGGGUUUAAAGGGUGCGUAGGCGGGCAGAUAAGUCAGUGGUGAAAUACCUGAGCUUAACUUGGGAACUGCCAUUGAUACUAUUUGUCUUGAAUGUUGUGGAGGUUAGCGGAAUAUGUCAUGUAGCGGUGAAAUGCUUAGAGAUGACAUAGAACACCUAUUGCGAAGGCAGCUAACUACGCAAAUAUUGACGCUGAGGCACGAAAGCGUGGGGAUCAAACAGG
rnacentral:rRNA from 1 species